ensembl:lncRNA
CGAUUGAUUCUUAUUGACAGUAACAUGCUGAGUGAUACCGCGUUCAUAUUAAUUGAUUUCAAUGAAUUUCACGCCGCUCCUCUUUGGUUGUGAAUCAGAAAGCAGAAAACCGCCGAGCAACGCGGCAUCGAUUGCUCAGGAGAAAGCGAAGGCGACUGCGUGUCCGUGGAGGAGUGAUCAAUAACAGCUAAAUGAAAAGGGACAACAAAGGUUUGGACUGAACGUGACGCAAACCCCCAAAAGCACACAAACAAUGUAUGAGAUCUAUGAGAACUCAACUCCAACAAAGACUAAAAGCCCGAUAAUAACAAGGCUCAGAGAAAAACACAAACUAAAUGGAUUUGCUUUUCAAAAUUGGAACCGAAAGGUUUUUAAGCGCCAACUGACUUUUAACACAACAGACUUUUUGGUGAGUCGUUGCGUGUUGUCGCUUGUCCGCGGCCCAACAGCGGCCUUCUACUUCCGCCGAUCACAUUCAUGCUUCCAAAACACCUCGUUUUCACCCAGACCACAAAGUCCCGCUGGCUUUUUCUCUACUCACGACCAUUUUGAUCACACAUUUUACGAGAUCCUGCUAUGACGUUAGCGGGAGAUGGAGGUGUGUUGGUGCAUGUUGGUAUUAGAGCUCUGGUGUAACACCUGGAGCGUUUAGGCUUAUGACGAGUCUCAAGAAAAAGAAUGCAAGUCAAUGGGAAAAGUUUCAAGAGAGCACUGCAGGUCUUCCUCAUGUGAUCGUUCUCCAUCACACACUCAGGAGCAGGUCCAGCACUUUGUCCAGCAGAUGGCAGGAAGUGUCUGCGAGUGGAAAAACGAAAUGUUUCAAACACAUAAUGGACAACAAACUAUUUGAAUAACAGUCAAUAAAAAACAAUUUUGCAUAACCAGAGCACAUUUGUUUGUCAUUAAGUUGUGUUUAUUCUAUCCAGAAGACGUUUUGAUCACACGAUCACGUUCACGUGGAGCAAUAACGUGUCAACGAGAUGAACACUGAAGAGAAAACCACAACAAAUGAAUCUCCGUCCAAAAUAACAGAUAUACAUGUAAAACUAGUGCGACACGGUGGCGUGGUGGUUAGCACUGUCGCCUCACAGCAAGAAGGUCCUGGGUUCGACUCCGUCCAGUGGCCUUUCUGUGUAGAGUCUGCAUGUUCUCCCUGUGUCUGCGUGGGUUCUCUCCGGGUUCUCCCGCAGUCCAAAGACGUGCACUGGGGAUCAGGUUGAUUGGGGACUCUAAAUUGCGAUAAGAUGCAAUAAGAGGUUUGACGAUGGAUGGAUGGACAUGUAAAGCUAUCCGGUGCCGGCCAUGAAGGUAGAUUUUAUUCAUAGUGAUCACUUCCCCUAGUGUUCAACUCAAAGCACUACACACAGUUGUGGCCUUUGUUUUACCCCGGGGGAGAAAGGUUCACAGAGAAUGGAAGAAACACAAACGUGUCAACGCACCGACUAACGUGAUGCUUUUAGGCUUGCUGCUGCGGCUCUGCGUCGCCACGGCAACUGCGGGCUGCGAGCCGGCGGCGUUGGCUGCGCCUCACAUUUGGGAGAGAGUUUGCGUUGCAGUGACGGAAGAGCACCACCGCGGGGCGGAAGCGUCGUUUUCUAGUUCUGGGAUGACGGGGAUGCUGUCACAUCUGAUCACACAAUGCACGUGUGAACACGUGUGUGUAUGCGUGUGUGUACAUGUAUGCAGAAGCAUUGCAGAUGCAGCCGAGCUGAGCUGCAAACGUGCUGCAUCAACCUUUCGCCGUCACUGUCACCGUGGUGAAUUUGUCCCGUGGAUGCGGCGCAGCCAGAGCGUGUUAGUGGCAUCUGGUUCCCAUAUUGUUACAAAGUUACAGCAGGGCCUUGAUUAUUGCUAAUAUAUAAUAUGUUUUAUAUCCCGGACGCAGCAGGAUCCACACAGGAGGGGCUUCGUCUCCAGGCUGUCGCUCAUAUCCUAAUUUUCAACUCCACCGUGGGCCCCGCUGUCUGACUCUCUCCCUCCCUCUCAUGCACCCCCCCUCCUCCCCCCUCAUCUCCCAUGCACACAUCAAAGUGUGUUCUGAGUAAAGAUGGAACAGGCUCCUUUGAUCUCUCCCUGUCGGCUCUGAUUAAUGUGUGGAUUUACAGUGCAGACCUACGGGGACCUGGCAGCCAUGACACCCCCCCCCCCCCCCUUCUGCUGCACUGGAAUCUGGUUUUCCUCAACAACAAAAAACAAUCGCGGCCACUGAUUUGUAUUAAUUGCUCCUUUCGGGAUGCUUGUGACACCAAACGAACCUUUAGCGCUCCGACUUGUUCUCACACAGUCGACCUCAGACGGCCAACCCAAACGGUCCAUAAGAAACCUCGCCGCAACUCACAGCGCCGCACCUUACCGACCAGAGGGAAGUCGAAGUCUGCUUUGUGAAAGGCCUCCCCACCCGAUGCAAAGCCUUUGUUUCAUCUCACAAGGGACAGAAAGUUGCGUGACACAGCCGAGGACUGGUGUGCUCCAUGUUUAAUUCAGCCGGCCUUGGCAGCCAUCUGCAUUGGUGGGUCCGCUGCUGGUGUCGACGGCGCAGCAAAUGUCGGAACGAAAUGUGGCGGCGAGGUGUUUGCGCGGCACACGUUGUGCUUUUUGUGCAUUGCACGUCGCUCCCACGUUUCAUCUCGAGCCAAAACAAGCAAACAAUGGCCGCACGCUUUGCGCCGUCUUUGCUCUUUUUUUUUUACCCAAAAUCGUCUCGCCUUCACGUGCUCCUUUUCUCUCAAAUGUGCCUCCCCCCUUUGCCGCAGUGCAAUGCAGAUUCCCCACAGCAUGGAGGUAUGCUGGAGAUAGGCGGGGUACCAUGAAUAAUUGUUGAAGAUAUUUUUACUCUGACCCACUUUGGAGUCCCUUUUCGCCCCCCUUAAAGGUGCCGCAGCCUUAAGUCAACACAGCGCUUGAAUCAACCCCAAAAAAACAUUUCAGUUGAGCCUAUAUUGUGUCUAAAAUCCCACAGUGAAGAUCUGACAACAUGGGCCACGCUGAAAUGGCCUUCAAAUAGAGCGGAGGAUCGUCACGGUGCCUUUAGCCCGGAGUCUUCCUCGCACUCUCAAAUAUGCAACUAUAGGUGAUUUUGCACUUUCUUUUAUACAAGCGUGUUUUCUUCGGUCUGGUGGUUGUAUUGUUGCACCUUCAAGCUGAGAGGCGGCGUUUGUUGUUCCCAGUUAGCAUAAUUUGAUGGCAGCAUCCAAGUGAGAUGCUCAGCUUUUACUCUUUUUUUUUUCUGAAAGAGUCUUUAGACCCACUUGCUUUACGCUCGUUCCAACAGUUUAGAUAUAAGCUUCAUGAAACUCCCGUAAAUAACGGGGUGGUUGCUCAAUGUUCAUCAUUUUUUACAUUGCAUGAAGAAAGAAGAUAAAAACCUCUUACGUAUGUUUUAUAAUGACAGCAGCCGAAAUAAGAAGUUAAUUGGAGACAAAACAGUGUUUGAACCAGUUAUUAACCCUGUAAAUACAAAGGUUUGUUACACGUUAACUCGAUUGGCCUUUUGGAAAUGAUUAUGGUUGUUAUGCUGACAUUGUAAUUGAUGGUAGCUAUUUUAAAAUCCUCGAUGAUGGGAUCAGGUCAUGUCUGUGGCGGCGUGUUACUCCGUGGUUAAAACCUCCUUCUUGAAAUCAACCUGCGUCAGUGCAACAAUGGAAAGAGACAGGUGUGCACGUUGGAAGGAAAUGACUCAACGACCAAUGACAAGGGAUGUUUUUGAUGAGUUGGACUCCUAUAAUUCCACUUCAGAUUGAAGAAGGUUUUCUCACCUCAAGAACUUUGACUGCUAAUUGAAUAUUCUGGAUGAGCUCUGCUGUCGAGGACAUCAAGAUUUAUUACGAUAAAAGCAACUCAAGCCUUGGAAAAGACUUGGUAAUCAACGGUCUAUUGUGUUUUUGAGUACUUGUGUUUAGAUAAGGACUUAAAUCAUCCACUGUUAUUAUCUAUUUAAAGUAAUGUUUUAGUGGGCUUUAUUGAACGACAUUCCCCUCCUUAAACACAUUGGGCGAUGAGAGGGGACGUGGUUUCCUGCAACUGCCUCUAAUAACAGCAGGACAGAGUUUUAUAGUCAGCCGUGAUUAAAUUAGAAACAUGGAAGACAUAAACAUGUUUGUGAGUGCUUUAGUUGUGAAGACUUCCGUAACUGCUGUUCGGAUUUUGAGGAUUGUUUGUUUUCAUCCUCAAUUUAUCAACGUAAUUGCGUCAUGAAAUCCAGUGAGUGAAUCCAUUGAGCGACCUGUCCAUCACAGUAAGCCCCGCCCUAAAGCAUACCCUGCUAAUAGUAUGUAUAGUUUAUUUGACUGUAAAUAAUUUAAGACCAUACACUCCUGCUUGCAAUGUUUACUGAGGGAUGAAUCAAGAGUGGUUUUCUCAUAGAAUCCUAUGGGACCAGAGGAGUCGCCUCCUUGUGGUCAUUAGAGAGAAUGCAGCUUUAACACGUGACGCAUUAACUCUCCUUAUCAGGUCCAACAAUUGCCACCUGUGGAGGACUUGAUUGAAAAUGUUGUGUAAUUCUGCUGCUCAUCAGUGCGAAGACAGACUCACAAACACACACACACACACACACACACACACAGACAAACAGGUACUUAAGUGAAGUCAGGCAUAUGUACAGGAGAUGGGAAAUAGGGAAAAUAACUGGGAUAAUAAAUAUAUGCACUUACGGCAAAGUAUGGUUAUUUUCAUUGCACCUUUCGACAACCAGGUAAUUCAAAGUGCUUCACAGAAGAUUAACAAAGGAUAGAAAAGACACAAGGCAAUAUAAAGAAAAAGAAAAAAUACGAAGAACCCAUUAAACAGGAUUUUAAAACAGUGGAAUAAUAAAUAAGAUUCAAAUCUCUUAGUAGUUUGACAAACAUACAGGGUGCAUUAAAGCUGGAUCCUGGCACUCAGUGUUGAGUGUUGCAGAGUUGUCCAAAGUGAGCUUAGAGGUCUGCACGGUUCAUAACAAAGAAGAAGAUGCUUUACAAACUAAUACUAGAAUUCUAAAGUACAUUUUUUGACCAGAAUCACGCUGGAUUGAUGUGACUCACCUGAGUCAAUAACAACACAGACACUGCUCGCCUUGUUUGUGCUUUCAAACGUUAACAACUAGCUUGUGCUUCUAAGUCUGCUUAGAUGAAGAAGCACCUCAAAUCACUGACUUGUUCGAUGCACUUCUCAGUGCUGGUGUUGGGACAGAGUCGCCUGGUGACAAUGUUGUAUAAAUAUCAGUUAUAUUGAUAAAAUAUGAGCUAAUCGGAGCAUAAACAGAUUGAACAGAAGAGGACCGAGCACGUAGCCUUGGGGUACUCCAAGUAAUCUUUUGUAUGUAAGCUACUGUAAUUACCAAUCGACAAGGAGUAUAGUCCCGAUCUAGGAUUCAAACCGGCACCGUGUUACUUCACUUUUCUGGUCUGUUUGGUACGUCGGGUUAGCUUUUAUGAGCAAUACUAGUUAAUAACAAUACAUUACAGCGGUAUUUUCCACAUACAAACACUGUUGUGACAUUUUCAUAGAUUCACCGGCUUUGUUUGUAUCGCCGAUUUAACGAGACAGAAGUAAAAAGUACUCAUAAAAACCCUGUACAGCUUUCCUGUUCAAAUGGAAUGUCAAAUAUUUGUAUCUCUUUGAAUAUGAUAACUGACUCCAUCCUCGUGAAAUUUGUGACGUUUAUCUGCAGGUUGAAACAGUUGAAUGAAUAGACGGCACAGUAUUAAAAUCUCAGACACAUGUGGUUCUUAUAUAAACUGAUUUGACCCGGUAUACAAUAGACUAUAAUUCACAGGCAGGGGAAUGUCUAGAGACACCACAGUGUUCUUUGUGAUCCAUCAUGGAGACUUCAGACGUGACUCUUGACUUGAACUUGUGAAAAUAUAAAGAUGAAAAUGAUCUCUGGGAAAAGGGCUCAGAGGUAAUAUAUUCUCUUUUAAGGAUGCUCUGUUUGAACACAAUUGUUCAUAACAACUGGUUUAUUUAUAGUCAAAGCCAUUUUAAAAAAGGCUUUGGAAGAAUACAAAGAAAUCAGAUUUUAACAAUUUACUUGAUGUCGAAUUUUUGAGGAAUCCUUUUGGUGCCGGUCAGACAGCGAGUGUUUGGAUGGAGAAUGUUAUUGUGCUGAUCUCAGAGCGGAACUCAUUGUGCUCCAGAGCUGCUUUCCACGGCGUCCUCUGAUUCCUUCUUCCUCUUAAAUCUCUCAUGAAAAAUCUUUUAUGACAUUUGUUUUGUGUCAGGCUCUUAAAUAUAGAUGACAAUUCCCCCAAAAACACAAGCGAACGUGAACGCUGACCCGACGUGAGCUCCGUGCACCAAUUUCCAGCUCAUCGCCUCUGUUAUCUCGCCUUGCUCAUCCUUUCUCUCAGCCCCCGGCCCUGCAAAAUAGUUUCUUUUUCCACCUCCCAUGCCUGCCCCCCCCAUCCCACCCCCCAUAUAGCUCCCAAUGUGAAAAGUCACCCACAGUUUUCCUGCUAGGGUUUUUGCGGACAGGAAGUCCAUGUUUAAUGAAGUGACUCUCUUGUUAAAACGCUUUUAAGUGCUGCUGUUCAGGGCUUCAGGCUGGAGGG